CAUCUAACUUCGUUUACCUCUCUGUUUUUGUCACAUUGAGUCUUCCCUCUUCAUACCAUGAAAAUCAGGAUUCUACACUGAUCAUCCUUAAUCUCUCUCUAGAAACUUCCAAUUCAUGGCUACAUCUUCUCUUCUACACUUACCCGAACUCCAUUUUCUUUCUCCACAAAUCCCUCACCGUAACCGUUUCUCUCUUUCUACAUACUCCAUUUCCCGCCUUUCUACCUCCAACGUUGCUCUUCGCACCACGCGAAUCCGCGCAUCGAAAGAAGAAUCCGCGUUAGCCGAGCGAGUUAACGACGUGAAGUGGAGCGGAAACGGAGCUGCCUCCCGUGCCGGCGACAAUAAAGCAUCAGGAGGAUACGUUAACGGCGCCGUCAAGAAAAGCCCGGGGGAUUACGGAUAUAGAAACGGUGUAGCUGCUACAGAGGUGGUGGACGUUGAAGUCUCUAAGGUGAAUGAGGAUGGGAGGAAGAGAAGGUUGGAGGAGAUUGGAAAAGAAGAUGCGUGGUUUAAACAAACUGAGAAAGUAAAAGUUGAGGUAGCAGUUGCUCCUGGAGGUCGUUGGAGCAGAUUCAAGACUUACUCUACAAUCCAGAGAACCUUAGAGAUUUGGGGAUUUGUUGUAACGUUCAUCUUUAAGGCAUGGCUGGACAAUCAGAAGUUUUCUUACAAAGGAGGAAUGACCGAGGGAAAAAUGAAGUUAAGGCGGAAGACCCUUGCCAAGUGGCUUAAGGAAAGCAUUUUGAGAUUAGGCCCUACAUUCAUUAAAAUUGGUCAGCAGUUCUCCACUAGGGUGGAUAUUCUUCCUCAAGAGUAUGUUGACCAGUUGUCCGAACUUCAGGAUCAAGUGCCUCCAUUUCCCUCUGAGACUGCUAUAGCUAUUGUUGAAGAGGAGCUCGGAGCUUCUGUAGGUGAUAUCUUUGAUCAGUUUGACUAUGAACCAAUAGCUGCUGCAAGUCUUGGUCAGGUUCAUCGGGCAAGAUUGAAAGGACAAGAGGUUGUUGUUAAAGUGCAAAGGCCUGGUCUCAAGGAUCUUUUUGAUAUUGAUCUAAAAAACCUGAGGGUUAUUGCCGAAUAUCUUCAAAAAAUUGAUCCAAAGUCGGAUGGUGCAAAGAGGGAUUGGGUUGCUAUUUAUGAUGAAUGUGCCUCUGUCUUAUAUCAGGAGAUUGAUUACACCAAGGAGGCUGCUAAUGCUGAAUUGUUUGCAAGUAACUUUAAGAACAUGAGUUAUGUGAAAGUUCCUACAAUCUACUGGGAUUAUACCACACCACAGAUUCUGACAAUGGAAUAUGUUCCAGGAAUUAAAAUAAACAAAAUACAAGCUUUAGAUCAACUUGGUGUUGAUCGCACAAGGCUAGGGAGAUAUGCAGUUGAGUCGUUCCUGGAGCAAAUUUUAUCGCAUGGUUUCUUCCAUGCUGACCCUCAUCCUGGAAAUAUUGCAGUUGAUGAUGUUAAUGGUGGAAGGUUGAUCUACUAUGAUUUUGGAAUGAUGGGAAGUAUUAGUCCAAACAUCCGAGAAGGCUUGCUUGAAACAUUUUAUGGAGUCUAUGAGAAGGAUCCAGAUAAGGUUCUUCAAUCAAUGGUUCAAAUGGGUAUUCUUGUCCCUACUGGAGAUAUGACUGCUGUUAGGCGAACAGCACAGUUUUUUCUAAACAGCUUUGAGGAGCGCCUGGCUGCACAAAGGAGAGAGAAAGAGGAAGCAACUGGCGAACUUGGAUUCAAAAAACCAUUAAGCAAGGAAGAAAAAAUAAUGAAGAAGAAACAACGUCUAGCUGCUAUUGGUGAGGAUUUAUUAUCCAUUUCAGCCGAUCAACCCUUCCGAUUUCCUGCUACAUUUACAUUUGUUGUUAGAGCCUUCUCAGUGUUGGAUGGCAUUGGAAAGGGCCUUGACCCACGUUUUGACAUUACUGAGAUUGCGAAACCUUAUGCUUUGGAGUUAUUAAGGUUUCGUGAGGCAGGGGUUGAAGUUGUCUUAAAGGACUUCAGUAAUAGAUGGGAUAGACAAUCUCAAGCAUUUUACAACUUAUUUAGGCAGGCUGACAGGGUUGACAAGCUUGCUACAGUUAUCCAAAGACUGGAGCAAGGAGAUCUAAAGCUCCGAGUUCGAACUUUAGAGUCUGAAAGGGCAUUCCAGCGUGUUGCCACAGUCCAGAAGACUAUAGGGAAUGCAGUAGGUGCUGGAAGCUUAAUAAAUCUUGCAACAAUUUUGUACCUUAAUUCGAUUCGUAUGCCUGCAAUUGUAGCAUAUGUCUUCUGUGCAUUCUUUGGUUUCCAAGUGCUCUUGGGCAUUGUAAAGGUCAAGAAGCUAGAUGAAAUGGAACGAUUGAUAACAGGAACAGCAUAAACAACUAUAAGGACAAAUUAUUUUUACCAAUGGGUUACUCAUUGUGGUUUGGAGGGUGUACUGCAGCUUGUCAAUGUAUCUUUAGUAUAUCAGGAGGCUUUUUGUAAUUUGGCUUUUUAUCUUUUGUAUAUAAGCCUUAUUUCAGAAUUUGGACGAUAUGUAGCACAUGUUAAAGGCCAUGAAAGGGAUGACUUUGGAAGAAACCAACCUUUCAGGUUUCACCAGCAUAUGUUAAAAUCUUUCGACUAACAAACAUGCUGGAGGCAUUUUAUGUUCAUCACCUGUUCCUCAGUAAAUGUAUAUCGAUCUCUGCAUUAGCUAGCUGCAUUUUUGUCAUUAGCCACCCCUAAAAAACAACACAUAAAAUAAUUGUCACAAAAAGGAAUUUCUUUAGGUAUGAUGUGAGUUUUGUAAAUAUUCCAUUAUUUACAUAUCAUACUUGAAUUUAACUUAACUUUGUAAAUUUUAAUUAUUUUUUGGAAUUACUCUUGUAAUACCAUGGGUUGAUGCAGUUUCCUACAACUAUCUGAAGGGGAAGCAUAACCUUAACCUGACAUUAACAUGUGCAAUUAAUAUGCAUGUUGGGUUGAAUUUAA